CCUACGGGUGGCAGCAGUGGGGAAUAUUGGGCAAUGGGCGCAAGCCUGACCCAGCAACGCCGCGUGAAGGAAGAAGGCUUUCGGGUUGUAAACUUCUUUUGUCAGGGACGAAGCAAGUGACGGUCCCUGACUACUACGCCACGGCUACCUACGUGCCCGCAGCCGCGGUAAUACGUAGGUGGCAAGCGUUAUCCGGAUUUAUUGGGUGUAAAGGUCGUGUAGGCGGGAAUGCAAGUCAGAUGUGAAAACUAUGGGCUCAACCCAUAGCCUGCAUUUGAAACUGUAUUUCUGGAGUGCUGGAGAGGCAAUCGGAAUUCCGGGUGUAGCGGUGAAAUGCGUAGAUAUACGGAGGAACACCAGUGGCGAAGGCGGAUUGCUGGACAGUAACUGACGCUGAGGCGCGAAAGCGUGGGGAGCAAACAGGAUUAGAUACCCGUGUAGUC
rnacentral:rRNA from 1 species